CAGAGAGAUAACACAGUCCACAGUUUCAGAGCAGGAAAAAUCUGGGUUCUGAUUUGUACAGCCUUGCUAGCAAGAGGGAUUGAUUUUAAAGGUGUGAACUUGGUGAUCAACUAUGACUUUCCAACCAGCUCAGUGGAAUAUAUCCACAGGAUAGGUCGAACUGGAAGAGCAGGGAAUAAGGGAAAAGCAAUUACAUUUUUCACUGAGGAUGAUAAGCCAUUAUUAAGAAGCGUUGCUAAUGUUAUACAGCAGGCUGGGUGUCCUGUACCAGAAUACAUAAAAGGUUUUCAGAAACUACUAAGCAAACAAAAGAAAAAGAUGAUUAAGAAACCAUUGGAAAGGGAGAGCAUUAGUACAACUCCAAAAUGUUUCUUAGAAAAAGCUAAGGAUAAACAGUAAGUAUGUGGAAAAAGGUCACUGGUCAGAACAGCAAGAAGAAAGUAGCUCUUGAAGACAAAAGUUAAAAACAGACUUUAAAAAUACUGUCCCAGAAAUGUAAUUUUAUGAUCCCAGCAUGAAUGUUAUUUUCAUGGAAUACUUGAAGUCUUACAGUCACCUGUACCAAACAUUUGAAAUCAACUACAAGUACAUGAGACUGGUGAUAAAUGAUCCUAAACUAUCAAGUCAGUUUCAAUUUGUAGGUGCCUUUUUUUUUUCCUGUAGAGAUGAGGGUCUCGCCAUGUUGUCCAGGCUGGUCUUGAACUCCUGACCUCACACAAUCCUCCUGCCUUAGCCUCCUGAGUAACUGAGAUUACAGGCACAAGCUGCUGCACCCAGCUCUGUAGGUGACUUUUAAAUGAUUAUACAAUGGAAAUAACAUUCAUUGACAUUUCUGUGGUUUGAAUCCAGAGAGAUACUUCUUAUAGAAAAACAAAUGUUGAUGCUAAAAAUAACACCAAAAUGUGGUGAACUCUUAAGGACUUUUCCCUUCAAGUGUGAAGGAAGGUGUGAUGAAUGCUGUGGAGAGGCAUCUGGAACAAAUUCAAAAUAAAGCCUUGACAUUAAAUACCCCUUCCACUGCUCACUUUGUGGAUGGUAGCAUGGGCUGUUUACCAAGAAGAAACCUGCUGCUCUCUUAAUUUUAAUAUUUCCUAAUUUGUUGAUGGCCUUUUGUGUUGUGAACCACAACAAAGAGAGGCCUCUUCUGUGGCUGGUUAUUCCAGUUCCCUGGGAUUUUAAAUUCUUUGGUCUAUUAAGUAUCCUUGUAUUGGAUAC
rnacentral:lncRNA from 1 species